rnacentral:rRNA from 1 species
UACGUAGGGGGCAAGCGUUGUCCGGAUUUAUUGGGCGUAAAGAGCUCGUAGGUGGUUCGGUAAGUCGGAUGUGAAAUCUCCAGGCUCAACCUGGAGGGGUCAUUCGAUACUGCCGUGACUAGAGGUCGGUAGGGGAGUGUGGAAUUCCUGGUGGAGCGGUGAAAUGCGCAGAUAUCAGGAGGAACACCCGUAGCGAAGGCGGCACUCUGGGCCGAUACUGACACUGAGGAGCGAAAGCGAGGGGAGCGAACAGG